rnacentral:rRNA from 1 species
GUCGAGCGAAUGGAUUAAGAGCUUGCUCUUAUGAAGUUAGCGGCGGACGGGUGAGUAACACGUGGGUAACCUGCCCAUAAGACUGGGAUAACUCCGGGAAACCGGGGCUAAUACCGGAUAACAUUUUGAACUGCAUGGUUCGAAAUUGAAAGGCGGCUUCGGCUGUCACUUAUGGAUGGACCCGCGUCGCAUUAGCUAGUUGGUGAGGUAACGGCUCACCAAGGCAACGAUGCGUAGCCGACCUGAGAGGGUGAUCGGCCACACUGGGACUGAGACACGGCCCAGACUCCUACGGGAGGCAGCAGUAGGGAAUCUUCCGCAAUGGACGAAAGUCUGACGGAGCAACGCCGCGUGAGUGAUGAAGGCUUUCGGGUCGUAAAACUCUGUUGUUAGGGAAGAACAAGUGCUAGUUGAAUAAGCUGGCACCUUGACGGUACCUAACCAGAAAGCCACGGCUAACUACGUGCCAGCAGCCGCGGUAAUACGUAGGUGGCAAGCGUUAUCCGGAAUUAUUGGGCGUAAAGCGCGCGCAGGUGGUUUCUUAAGUCUGAUGUGAAAGCCCACGGCUCAACCGUGGAGGGUCAUUGGAAACUGGGAGACUUGAGUGCAGAAGAGGAAAGUGGAAUUCCAUGUGUAGCGGUGAAAUGCGUAGAGAUAUGGAGGAACACCAGUGGCGAAGGCGACUUUCUGGUCUGUAACUGACACUGAGGCGCGAAAGCGUGGGGAGCAAACAGGAUUAGAUA